UUUUAAUAGCUUAUAUUUAGAGUAUGAUACUGAAGAUAUCAUGGAAGAUUUUUCUUUAAAAUAU
rnacentral:tRNA from 1 species